UACGAGGACGAUCCACGUUGUUCGGAUUCACUGGGCGUAAAGGGUGCGUAGGCGGUCGGGUAAGUCUGAUGUGAAAAUCUCACAGCUUAACUGUGAAACUGCAUUGGAUACUAUUCGGCUUGAGAGUUGGAGGGGGGACUGGAAUUCUUGGUGUAGCAGUGAAAUGCGUAGAUAUCAAGAGGAACACCAGUGGCGAAGGCGAGUCCCUGGACAACUUCUGACGCUGAGGCACGAAAGCUAGGGGAGCAAACAGG
rnacentral:rRNA from 1 species